rnacentral:tRNA from 1 species
GCCGCCUUGGCUAAGUGGUAUAGCGACUCCUUGGUAAGGAGUAGGUCCGGGGUUCAAUUCCCCGAGGCGGCU